CACACACACACAGUCAGUCACACACACAUAGGCAGACAGUCAUACACACAUAGACACACACACAGGCAGACAGUCAUACACACAGACACACACACAGGCAGACACACAUACACACAGGCAGACAGUCAUACACACACAGACACACACACAGGCAGACAGUCAUACACACACAGACACAUACACAGGCAGUCACACACACACAGGCAGACAGUCAUACACACAGACACACACACAGACAGACAGUCAUACACACAUAGACACACACACAGGCAGUCACACACACACACAGACAUACACACACACACAUGCACACACAC